rnacentral:lncRNA from 1 species
UUUUCCUCCUGUCGUUAAGAUAAAUUCUCCAGUAGACAACCUCUCCCACUAAUUGUGUAUUAGCAACGUAUUUUAUCUUGAGAGCUUGUACACUGGGCUCUCAACGUGGUGUGGAAGGUAGCCUGUUACAGUGCUGGAUUCAUAAAAGGGCCUUUAUGGUUUGUGAAAGAAUAUCUGUGUGCUUAGGGAGGAAACUUUUUGAUCUGCAGAAAAGCCAGAAGACAUCUAGGACAUCCAUAAAAAUUCAUCAGAGAGCAUUUUACUACUGAGCUGCAAAGGGAAAAACUUAAAAUGGAUAUGAAAAGUGAAGAAAGUGAUCAUAGGAGAAAACCAUUUCAGGUGUCUGAUGAUUUGUGAGCCUCAAGUGACUACUCUGUGGAAUCAUCUGUCCUUGCCUUUGAAUUAGCUUUCCCUAGGCCAUGAGUCAACAUUAGUAGUUUAUACAUCCAAAUUGAUGACAAGAGCACCUCAAAGGCAGCAGCCUCAAGGAGCAGCCAUGGCCCCAGACUUGUCGCACGGAUGCAGAAAACUUAAUGGAGGAGGCUGAGCAAAACAGAGCGUGACACUCCCAA